AUGCUUGUUUUGGCAGCACAUAUACUACACAUUGGAAUGAUACAAAGAAGAUGAGCAUGGCCCCUGAAAAAGGAUGACAUGCAAAUUUAUGAAGUGUUCCAUGUUUUU
ensembl:snRNA U6 U6 spliceosomal RNA